GGGGUCAUUGCCGAGAGCCCGCCGGCCGCUCUUUCGUCGAAUCCGCAAGCCGCGCCAUUCUCAAGCCCGCCCGCCCCUGCACACUCAAGCCCAACG